GCAUGUCUAAGUAUAAGCAAUCUAUACGGUGAAACUGCGAAUGGCUCAUUAAAUCAGUUAUCGUUUAUUUGAUAGUACCUUGCUACAUGGAUACCUGUGGUAAUUCUAGAGCUAAUACAUGCUAAAAACCUCGACUUCGGAAGGGGUGUAUUUAUUAGAUAAAAAACCAAUGCCCUUCGGGGCUCCUUGGUGAUUCAUAAUAACUUAACGAAUCGCAUGGCCUUGCGCCGGCGAUGGUUCAUUCAAAUUUCUGCCCUAUCAACUUUCGAUGGUAGGAUAGUGGCCUACCAUGGUGGCAACGGGUAACGGGGAAUUAGGGUUCGAUUCCGGAGAGGGAGCCUGAGAAACGGCUACCACAUCCAAGGAAGGCAGCAGGCGCGCAAAUUACCCAAUCCCGACACGGGGAGGUAGUGACAAUAAAUACUGAUACAGGGCUCUUUUGGGUCUUGUAAUCGGAAUGAGUACAAUCUAAAUCCCUUAACGAGGAACAAUUGGAGGGCAAGUCUGGUGCCAGCAGCCGCGGUAAUUCCAGCUCCAAUAGCGUAUAUUAAAGUUGUUGCAGUUAAAAAGCUCGUAGUUGAACCUUGGGUCUGGCUGGCCGGUCCGCCUCACCGCGAGUACUGGUCCGGCUGGACCUUUCCUUCUGGGGAACCCCAUGGCCUUCACUGGCCGUGGCGGGGAACCAGGACUUUUACUGUGAAAAAAUUAGAGUGUUCAAAGCAGGCCUUUGCUCGAAUACAUUAGCAUGGAAUAAUAGAAUAGGACGUGCGGUUCUAUUUUGUUGGUUUCUAGGACCGCCGUAAUGAUUAAUAGGGAUAGUCGGGGGCGUCAGUAUUCAGCUGUCAGAGGUGAAAUUCUUGGAUUUGCUGAAGACUAACUACUGCGAAAGCAUUCGCCAAGGAUGUUUUCAUUAAUCAGGGAACGAAAGUUAGGGGAUCGAAGACGAUCAGAUACCGUCGUAGUCUUAACCAUAAACUAUGCCGACUAGGGAUCGGACGGUGUUCUAUGAUGACCCGUUCGGCACCUUACGAGAAAUCAAAGU
rnacentral:rRNA from 2 species